UACGUAGGGUGCGAGCGUUAAUCGGAAUUACUGGGCGUAAAGCGUGCGCAGGCGGUUUUGUAAGACAGGUGUGAAAGCCCCGAGCUUAACUUGGGAAUUGCGCUUGUGACUGGCGUGCUGGAGUGUGGCAGAGGGAGGUGGAAUUCCACGUGUAGCAGUGAAAUGCGUAGAGAUGUGGAGGAACACCGAUGGCGAAGGCAGCCUCCUGGGCCAGCACUGACGCUCAUGCACGAAAGCGUGGGGAGCAAACAGG
rnacentral:rRNA from 1 species